UUUUACAUGCGGUUUAUUUAUAUUUUUAAGUGCUGAUCUUUAGGCUUGGGUUAAUUUUAAUUCAAGUCUUUAAGGCCGAAGCUUUAAUAAAAUUAAGGCAAUGACUUAUAGUAAAUCAUGUAUCAGCUGUAGUCCGUAGAUUUGGUGAGAAAUGUAAUCAUUAUUCCAGUAAGAGGAGAUAAAGAGGGGGGUAAAACGGGUGCCAGCACCAGCGGUUAAACCUAUCAUCCUCAAAGAAAAAGUAACGAGUAUUAGGGGGAAAAAGGAUAAAUGUAUUAAAGUUAUGCUUUCUGUCUUAAUGUGGUGUAGAAACCAAAGGGAGAUGUGGUAAAUCUGAUUAACAAGCUUUUUUUCCGUAGGGCUGUGGCUAGUGACGGGGCAAAUCCCCUUAACAAUGUUCGUGUUCGGGCGAAGAGUGGUUGUACCAUAGGAAGUCAAUAUACUUGGCGGUGUUACGAAUUCGGUCAGGGGAGCUUGGCGGUUAAUUCGAUGAUCCGCGAGAACUUUACCCCAUACGUUUCUAUCUGUACGGCCGUUGAUAGUUUAUUCUAAAGGGAUAGAUGCAAUCCCUUAUUACAUCUAGGCUAGAUAAUAAGGUAAAAUUCAGGUAAAUGUGGAGGAUAUGGUGGGGCCUUAGCUGAGCUACAAUUUUUAAUAAAAACGGACUUCGCCUGAAAAAAGCGGAAGUGGUCAAAUAGUUUAUAAGGUUGAAAAAUUUAUAUUACUAAAGACUACGCAGAAGGUGGACUUGAAAGUAAGAAAGUGAGAAGAAAGCCUUUCUGAAUAGUUAAACGUAACGCGUACAAACCGCCCAGCGCUCUUGUAUUAAAAAGUCUAGAUAAGUUGUAACAAGGAAAGGGUGGCCAAAUCUGUCUUUAGUUGAUA
rnacentral:rRNA from 1 species